rnacentral:lncRNA from 1 species
CACAUUAUCACAAACAGUUUCAUUCAAAGAGCUUUUUAGUAGCCUACUGCUUUUCAUGCUUUCCAAUGUAUGCCACUUUCAUGAUUCUCAUGAACAUAUGUGAGAUUGUUGGUAUCUCUUCGAGGAGCUUGGUUUCAGAGCCCGGCUAUGAGUAAUCUACCCACACUGUUUCGGUCCUACAGGUGAUGAGGGCAUUGCUUGCAGAGAUGUGCCUGGAGAUUGUGCGGUUUGUAUCUGAGGCCAUCCUGGAGGUCAUCAUCCCUGCAAUUUUCCGUUUUGUACGGAUAUACAGCCAUGUGUCUCCAGUAUCCGGCAAGUCUCUGACAGAAUCAGAGAGAUCCUCUAGCACAAACCUGAAGGUUCGCAAGAGAGGCAGCAGCAAAUCCUCAAGGUCUUGCACGGCCAAAUCAAGCUCCUCACGUAAUGGGUAUGUUCAGUCAUUCCUAAAGAAACCGGUUUCACCUAACUAUUCAUAACCCAUUUUGUGAAAAUAUGUUUUGUUAUCUGUAUAACAGUUUACUCUUAAUGACCAGUUUAACUGAUUACUGAAUGAUGUAUUAAUGUCACUACCGUGUCUACUAUUGAAUAUGGAAUGCUGUAUUGUUUGCUUUGUAUUCUCAAAGGUCUCAGACAGUGUUGCCAAAUACUCAGGGAGAUGGUGAGUCUAUAUCAUCUGAGCCACUCAGGGACUUUUUUGGGAUUACUGAGGACAGUCUCCUCACUGGUGUCCAGGAUUCCUUCAAAGAGUCGCUGAACAAUGUCCUCUGUAUCCAAAGAGAGGACCAGGUAGACACUCAAAGUCUAUCCCGGGUUAUUGUUGGAGAAGUGUCAAAGAAGGUCAAUUCCAUAAUCUCUGUGGCCAUCCAAACUCCCAUCUCUGGCCGAAUGUCCCCUGUUAUUUUUGCCAGUGGUGGUGUCUCCAGAACCAAGGUUGUUGAGGAGAUGGUGUCUGGCGUUUCCAACAUACUUCAGAUGUAUAUUAAUGGGAAGAGUGUUGAGCAGAUUGUUGUUCUCAGAGAGGAUGGUGUUGAGGUGGACAUGACACAUUUAACAGGACAGGUCAUGACAGCCCUCAGUGGCACUGUUUUGAACUUCAGCAAUAAGGAAGAAUAUGACCCCGACAAGAGGGAACUGCUUUGUGUUGUUGCUGACCAUAUGAAGAUGCUUGAAGCUUGUAAAAGUCCUGAGGAGAUGCUAAAACAAGGAGAGAGCAACCUCAAUAUCAAAGGUGCCAAAUCUAGUCUUCGUCUGUCAACACAAAGUAUGGAUAGACUACUCACUGAGGAGUUUCAGACCAAGGCCACUGAAUCGAUCCGGGAGAUUGUUAAAAGAUUCAGGGGUUGUACAUUAUGUUGUUCUGGCACUAUAUCAUCUAGUCCAACUCCUCAGAUAGGUGAGAUCAGAGACCUUAUGAUUGACCCUGAGGCCUCUGAGUUGGUAAGUACCUUUGUUUCAGACAUGGACAAUCUUACCCAGUCUAUCAGGGCAUCCUGCUCUCCUGCACAGAGUGAGCAGAUCCUUCUUGAAAACCAUCAGAGUAAGAUCUGGUCUUACACUGUUGGCUGUUACUACGACAUGAAAAAUACGCUGAAGAGGAUUCUUACCUGUCCAGAAAAAGGUUAUCUCGCAAGUACAUUUGUGGAGAGCACAAAAGAUUAUUUCACAAUGGUUCCAACUUUGUGCCUAGACAUCGGUCAUUCCAGUAAUGGUGAGGCUGACACAUCGGACUCCAUUUCUUGUAAACCACUUUUAAUAACCCCCUCAUCUAUGAAUGAACAAAAAGGACAAAGUGAGACCCCAAAACCUCUCUUGGCUCUCAAAAAGUAUUUGCAAGACCAAGUCCUCCUUGACACCACAAAAGCGAUUGCCAGCCAGGUUCUUGUCUUGUAUAAGACUGAGGUGAUGGAGAAGUUCUCAUCUUCUGUUGGAGAGUGUGAUUCUGAAGAGUCUCUGGAGGCCAUUCUAUUCGUGGAUGGCAUCAUGUCUGACUUGAAUGAUUUCACCAGUUCGUGUUCCCCCUCACCAUCUGAGUUGUUAGACAGUGAACAAUGUCUCUCCCAUCUCACUUUUCCACUUGGUCUACAGGACAGCACCACCAACAGUGAAUCUACCCUGAGUCUUCCAGUUAUAAAUAUGAAGAAACUCUCCAGUGUGUCUUUCCAGACAAAGGCUAGAAAGGCAGUGAGCGAAGCUCUGAGAUCUGUCAACCCCUUUACAAACAGCUUACUGGGAGACUCUGAAGCAUCUACAUUGCUGGACACUUUUGUAACAGAUGUGGAGACUAUUGUUCAGUCCAUGCAGGCACAUGACUCUGAAAAUGUCAGAAUUUCAAAAGUGAGCACCCUUCAUGCUGCUCGUAUUAUAUAUCAUAGAUUUCGAGAAAUGCUGAGGCGUUUUCUCACUCCCUGCCAAGACUCUGUAAAGGUCAUCGAUGGUGUUACACCAAUACAUGAUGAGACUCUCAAACAGGCUCCUAGUGAAAGUUUAGAUUCUCAGGUGACUUGUAAUAGGGAUUCUCUUGAAAUCCAAGCGGACCUUCAAACCUGUACCAAGGAGGUCAUUAGUCAGAUCCUCACUGUGUAUCACUCUGAGGAAUCCAUGGAGGAAUGCCUCUCUAGCCUAAAAGGAGAUACAGAAGACCUGUCCAAGCUUUUGGAUGCCGUUGUUUCUCAGAUUGACGUCCUUGCCGCCUCCAAAUCAUAUUUAUCUGUUGAUGACUAUGCUGUCAAUACACAGGACAAUUUGCAUGGUGAGAUCAACAAUGAUGAGGAGGAGGCAUCCUCUAGAAGUCUUAAAUCCACAGCCUUUGACAAACUAUGUACUGAUGAGUUUCAAACGAAAGCCUCACAUAUGGCUGGUGGGAUCCUUCAAUCAGGGUUAAUUGGCAUUGUAAAUACCAGCCUUGAUGGUAGAAGUGCAGACAUUUGUGCAGAGUCCAGUAACGAUGGUGAUGAUAGAGAUAACAAAAUCCUUCAGAAGAGUGGAACUCCACCUUUGUUCACCUCUUCUCUGCACACCAAUUCUGCAGCAUCCAACAUCGUCAUAAGCAUCACUAAAGACCUUAAUAGCUUCACCCAGAUCACUAAAAUGUCUGAUGCUUCAGUGUCUGGCCAGUUAGAGAGAUCCCUGUCAGCUUCAACCCUUCCUGUCAGUGUUCAGAACGGGGCCAAUGUGAAAGGAAAAAUCCUUGACCUUGAUGAACACAUUGUUGAACAGGUUUACAGUGCCUGGCCAAAUGAUCUUUCCUUUCACAUUGGCCCUGUUCUGAACACUGACAGGAAGGUUUGAAGCUGACAGGGAUCUCUCUAACUGGCCAGACACUGAAGCAUCAGACAUUUUAGUGAUCUGGGUGAAGCUAUUAAGGUCUUUAGUGAUGCUUAUGACGAUGUUGGAUGCUGCAGAAUUGGUGUGCAGAGAAGAGGUGAACAAAGGUGGAGUUCCACUCUUCUGAAGGAUUUUGACAUCUCUAUCAUCACCAUCGUUACUGGACUCUGCACAAAUGUCUGCACUUCUACCAUCAAGGCUGGUAUUUACAAUGCCAAUUAACCCUGAUUGAAGGAUCCCACCAGCCAUAUGUGAGGCUUUCGUUUGAAACUCAUCAGUACAUAGUUUGUCAAAGGCUGUGGAUUUAAGACUUCUAGAGUAUGCCUCCUCCUCAUCAUUGUUGAUCUCACCAUGCAAAUUGUCCUGUGUAUUGACAGCAUAGUCAUCAACAGAUAAAUAUGAUUUGGAGGCGGCAAGGACGUCAAUCUGAGAAACAACGGCAUCCAAAAGCUUGGACAGGUCUUCUGUAUCUCCUUUUAGGCUAGAGAGGCAUUCCUCCAUGGAUUCCUCAGAUUGAUACACAGUGAGGAUCUGACUAAUGACCUCCUUGGUACAGGUUUGAAGGUCCGCUUGGAUUUCAAGAGAAUCCCUAUUACAAGUCACCUGAGAAUCUAAACUUUCACUAGGAGCCUGUUUGAGAGUCUCAUCAUGUAUUGGUGUAACACCAUCGAUGACCUUUACAGAGUCUUGGCAGGGAGUGAGAAAAUGCCUCAGCAUUUCUCGAAAUCUAUGAUAUAUAAUACGAGCAGCAUGAAGGGUGCUCACGUUUGAAAUUCUGACAUUUUCAGAGUGAUGUGCCUGCAUGGACUGAACAAUAGUCUCCACAUCUGUUACAAAAGUGUCCAGCAAUUUAGAUGCUUCAGAGUCUCCCAGUAAGCUGUUUGUAAAGGGGUUGACAGAUCUCAGAGCUUCGCUCACUGCCUUUCUAGCCUUUGUCUGGAAAGACACACUGGAGAGUUUCUUCAUAUUUAUAACUGGAAGACUCUGGGUAGAUUCACUGUUGGUGGUGCUGUCCUGCAGACCAAGUGGAAAAGUGAGAUGGGAGAGACAUUGUUCACUGUCUAACAACUCAGAUGGUGAGGGGGAACACGAACUGGUGAAAUCAUUCAAGUCAGACAUGAUGCCAUCCACAAAUAGAAUGGCCUCCAGAGACUCUUCAGAAUCACACUCUCCAACAGAAGAUGAGAACUUCUCCAUCACCUCAGUCUUAUACAAGACAAGAACCUGGCUGGCAAUCGCUUUUGUGGUGUCAAGGAGGACUUGGUCUUGCAAAUACUUUUUGAGAGCCAAGAGAGGUUUUGGGGUCUCACUUUGUCCUUUUGUUCAUUCAUAGAUGAGGGGGUUAUUAAAAGUGGUUUACAAGAAAUGGAGUCCGAUGUGUCAGCCUCACCAUUACUCGAAUGACCGAUGUCUAGGCACAAAGUUGGAACCAUUGUGAAAUAAUCUUUUGUGCUCCCCACAAAUGUACUUGCGAGAUACCCUUUUUCUGGACAGGUAAGAAUCCGCUUCAGCGUAUUUUUCAUGUCGUAGUAACAACCAACAGUGUAAGACCAGAUCUUACUCUGAUGGUUUUCAAGAAGGAUCUGCUCACUCUGUGCAGGAGAGCAGGAUGCCCUGAUAGACUGGGUAAGAUUGUCCAUGUCUGAAACAAAGGUACUUACCAACUCAGAGGCCUCAGGGUCAAUCAUAAGGUCUCUGAUCUCACCUAUCCGAGGAGUUGGACUAGAUGAUAUAGUGCCAGAACAACAUGAUGUACAACCCCUGAAUCUUUUAACAAUCUCCCGGAUCGAUUCAGUGGCCUUGGUCUGAAACUCCUCAGUGAGUAGUCUAUCCAUACUUUGUGUUGACAGACGAAGACUAGAUUUGGCACCUUUGAUAUUGAGGUUGCUCUCUCCUUGUUUUAGCAUCUCCUCAGGACUUUUACAAGCUUCAAGCAUCUUCAUAUGGUCAGCAACAACACAAAGCAGUUCCCUCUUGUCGGGGUCAUUUUCUUCCUUAUUGCUGAAGUUCAAAACAGUGCCACUGAGGGCUGUCAUGACCUGUCCUGUUAAAUGUGUCAUAUCCACCUCAACACCAUCCUCUCUGAGAACAACAAUCUGCUCAACACUCUUCCCAUUAAUAUACAUCUGAAGUAUGUUGGAAACGCCAGACACCAUCUCCUCAACAACCUUGGUUCUGGAGACACCACCACUGGCAAAAAUAACAGGGGACAUUCGGCCAGAGAUGGGAGUUUGGAUGGCCACAGAGAUUAUGGAAUUGACCUUCUUUGACACUUCUCCAACAAUAACCCGGGAUAGACUUUGAGUGUCUACCUGGUCCUCUCUUUGGAUACAGAGGACAUUGUUCAGCGACUCUUUGAAGGAAUCCUGGACACCAGUGAGGAGACUGUCCUCAGUAACCCCAAAAAAGUCCCUGAGUGGCUCAGAUGAUAUAGACUCACCAUCUCCCUGAGUAUUUGGCAACACUGUCUGAGACCUUUGAGAAUACAAAGCAAACAAUACAGCAGUCCAUAUUCAAUAGUAGACACGGUAGUGACAUUAAUACAUCAUUCAGUAAUCAGUUAAACUGGUCAUUAAGAGUAAACUGUUAUACAGAUAACAAAACAUAUUUUCACAAAAUGGGUUAUGAAUAGUUAGGUGAAACCGGUUUCUUUAGGAAUGACUGAACAUACCCAUUACGAGAGGAGCUUGAUUUGGCAGUGCAAGAUCUUGAGGAUUUGCUGCUGCCUCUCUUGCGAACCUUCAGGUUUGUGCUAGAGGAUCUCUCUGAUUCUGUCAGAGACUUGCUGGAUACUGG